UUGUUCUACUACAGAAAAUAUCACCAAAAUGAAUUAGCCAUUUGUGAUCUAGUUUCAACCAAGAGCAACGAUGAAGGAGAAGUCAUAAGUCAAAGUAUACCUUGUUUGUUUAGCUGAAUCUCCAUUCAUUGAUUCCAUUUACUGCAAAUGCACGAUCAAAAAGAAUUGCUGCAAAUUUUGUUCUGAUCUUCCAAUUUUGUCGAGUACAUCAAAGAUGGACCUAGAUUUGAGGUAGUCCCCACAAAGACCACAAACAUCAAUUAUUGUGCGGUAAGCAUACAUAUUAGGACCACUCAACUUCUGCUUGGAGGCUUCAAAUACAGUCAAUGCAGACAUCAUAUCCCCUUUCUUCCCAAACUCAUGAAUAAUGGUAUAGAAAACUCUAUGACCAUGAGGAUGAAUACACGCAUACCUACAAAAUAUGACAAAACACAUUAAAGAAUGAUUAAAAUAGUAACUCGAGCUAUUGCUCAACAGUUAACACCUUCCUGCAAAAAAUAAGCAUAUUUAAACAGGUUAUAAUGAAAGAAAAUAGCCUACAUUUUAAUGAACACCCAACCCUACAUUUCUACUACGUACUUUAACAACACCUAUUAAGCUUUCAAAAAAAUACACAAUUAGAAUAGCAAUCCAACAGUGCUUUUGCAGGGGCCAAUACAAUUCAUGAACAGAACAAAAUAUUUCACUCCAUGGAUAUAUGACAGAGACAUAGCAAAAUCAUGCGGGCCGGGGAUGAUUGGUGGUUCAGUAGCUGCACCUCAUUGUCCUAAGUCUACAGUUGCCUUGACACAGUACGCCACGCCGCUCUUUAAGAAAAAGGAACUACACUCUUACUUUCUUAGUUUAUUUCAGCUUUCAAACAAUGACUCAGAGUCUCAAACGUACUCUGUUUAAAAUUAUGGUACAUGAUAUUCAUCUAACUUUGAUCAAAACUCCGUCCUGCAAAAUAUUGGUUCUACUCAAACAGUGUGUAGCCAGUGAAACCUCCACAAACCUGAAGGACAUCAGCACAAGUUGGUACUUCGAACUAGUUGAAGAAAAGGAGUAUUCCCAAAGCUAUAACCUAAUAUUUAAAACUUGUGAUGUUGACUCGAAAGACUAAGAACAAUGAGAUUGGGGAAGACAUUUGACAAAAUCUAGCAGCCUCAAUAAGCUAAUAACAUGAGGGAAGAGUUAACAAGCAUGCUUGAUAGGACUAUUAGAAAUAAGCCAGGUGGUUUAUAUUGAAAGCUCUAGUAGGAAGAGCUUGUCAAAAGAUAAGAAUGACAACUGAAUUUGGAACAUAUGGCACACUGUGAUAGGCCAGAUAAAGAGAAAAAUUGAAAGCAUUUAUGAAGGUGAUGGCGAAUACUAUCCUAGAUUGUGUGAUCUUAUAUACCAUAGCUGUCUGCAAAAUAGCUUGUCCUAGAUUCCGUGCUCUUACAUAACCAAAUCUGUCUGCAAAAUAGCUUGUCCUAGAUCGUGUGCUCUUACAUAACCAAAUCACUCUGCAAAAUAGCUUCUAAAUCCUGAUUAUCAUAUCUAUUGCUGCAUACAUUUGAUAAAGCCUUUGACAUAGUAAUAUAUAUGAUGAACAUCUGAAAGAAGUUGAUGCGCAUCUCUAUGAACUUACCAAAAAGUCAAGUGCAGUCAAGUUAAUGCAUUUAUCUCAUGGCUACAAAUUCAAUAAACCAAGGAG